rnacentral:rRNA from 1 species
AACGAACGCUGGCGGCAUGCCUAACACAUGCCAGUCGAACGAGACCUUCGGGUCUAGUGGCGCACGGGUGCGUAACGCGUGGGAACCUGCCCUUAGGUUCGGAAUAACUCCCCGAAAGGGGUGCUAAUACCGGUUAAUGUCUUCGGACCAAAGAUUUAUGGCCUUUGGAUGGGCCCGCGUUGGAUUAGCCAGUUGGUAGGGUAAAAGCCUACCAAGGCGACGAUCCAUAGCUGGUCUGAGAGGAUGAUCAGCCACACUGGGACUGAGACACGGCCCAGACUCCUACGGGAGGGAGCAGUGGGGAAUAUUGGACAAUGGGCGAAAGCCUGAUCCAGCAAUGCCGGGUGAGUGAUGAAGGCCGUAGGGUUGUAAAGCUCUUUUACCCGGGAUGAUAAUGACAGUACCGGGAGAAUAAGCACCGGCUAACUCCGUG